rnacentral:rRNA from 1 species
GGGUUGUGAGGUUAAGCGACUAAGCGUACACGGUGGAUGCCUAGGCAAUCAGAGGCGAUGAAGGACGUGCUAAUCUGCGAAAAGCGUCGGUAAGGUGAUAUGAACCGUUAUAGCCGACGAUGUCCGAAUGGGGAAACCCAGUGCAAUUCGUUGCACUAUCGUUUGAUGAAUCCAUAGUCAAACGAGGCGAACCGGGGGAACUGAAACAUCUCAGUACCCCGAGGAAAAGAAAUCAACCGAGAUUCCCCUAGUAGCGGCGAGCGAACGGGGAGCAGCCCAGAGUCUUAAUCAGCAUCAGCAUCAGGAGAACGGUCUGGAAAGGCCGGCAAUAAAGGGUGAUAGCCCCGUAUCCGAAGGUGUUGGUGUUGUGAACUCGACGAGUAGGGCGGGACACGUGUUAUCCUGUCUGAAUAUGGGGGGACCAUCCUCCAAGGCUAAAUACUCCUGAUUGACCGAUAGUGAACCAGUACCGUGAGGGAAAGGCGAAAAGAACCCCGGCGAGGGGAGUGAAAUAGAACCUGAAACCGUGUACGUACAAGCAGUGGGAGCCUUGAUUUAUCAGGGUGACUGCGUACCUUUUGUAUAAUGGGUCAGCGACUUAUAUUCUGUAGCAAGGUUAACCGAAUAGGGGAGCCGUAGGGAAACCGAGUCUUAACUGGGCGAAUGAGUUGCAGGGUAUAGACCCGAAACCCGGUGAUCUAGCCAUGGGCAGGUUGAAGGUUGGGUAACACUAACUGGAGGACCGAACCGACUAAUGUUGAAAAAUUAGCGGAUGACUUGUGGCUGGGGGUGAAAGGCCAAUCAAACCGGGAGAUAGCUGGUUCUCCCCGAAAGCUAUUUAGGUAGCGCCUCGUGAACUCAUCUUCGGGGGUAGAGCACUGUUUCGGCUAGGGGGUCAUCCCGACUUACCAACCCGAUGCAAACUACGAAUACCGAAGAAUGUUAUCACGGGAGACACACGGCGGGUGCUAACGUUCGUCGUGAAGAGGGAAACAACCCAGACCGCCAGCUAAGGUCCCAAAGUCAUGGUUAAGUGGGAAACGAAGUGGGAAGGCUCAGACAGCCAGGAUGUUGGCUUAGAAGCAGCCAUCAUUUAAAGAAAGCGUAAUAGCUCACUGGUCGAGUCGGCCUGCGCGGAAGAUGUAACGGGGCUAAACCAUGCACCGAAGCUGCGGCAGCGACAUGUAAAUGUUGUUGGGUAGGGGAGCGUUCUGUAAGCCUGUGAAGGUGUGCUGCGAGGCAUGCUGGAGGUAUCAGAAGUGCGAAUGCUGACAUAAGUAACGAUAAUGCGGGUGAAAAACCCGCACGCCGGAAGACCAAGGGUUCCUGUCCAACGUUAAUCGGGGCAGGGUGAGUCGACCCCUAAGGCGAGGCAGAAAUGCGUAGUCGAUGGGAAACAGGUUAAUAUUCCUGUACUGGUGAUAAUUGCGAUGGGGGGACGGAGAAGGCUAGGCUGGCCGGGCGACGGUUGUCCCGGUUUAAGGAUGUAGGUGGGUGAAUUAGGCAAAUCCGGUUCGCUAUACACUGAGGUCUGAUGACGAGUCACUACGGUGGCGAAGUAGCUCAUGCCCCGCUUCCAGGAAAAGCCUCUAAGCUCUAGAUUAUCAUUAAUCGUACCCCAAACCGACACAGGUGGUCAGGUAGAGAAUACUCAGGCGCUUGAGAGAACUCGGGUGAAGGAACUAGGCAAAAUGGUGCCGUAACUUCGGGAGAAGGCACGCUGGCA